CUAACGACUCUCGGCAACGGAUAUCUCGGCUCACGCAUCGAUGAAGAACGUAGCAAAAUGCGAUACUUGGUGUGAAUUGCAGAAUCCCGUGAACCAUCGAGUUUUUGAACGCAAGUUGCGCCCGAAGCCUUUUGGUCGAGGGCACGUCUGCCUGGGCGUCACAC
rnacentral:rRNA from 1 species